CAGAUGCGGCCCCAGCUUCCCCGGAGCUGGGAACAGGAGGUGCAAGCCUGGUGUGUGUCCAUGUCCUUCUCCUCCCGAGUCCCAGGAGUGCACCUAAAGUCCUCCAGCUUCAGAGGCCAGCUUUGCCCAAGAACCUUCGAAUGUACUGGCAAGUCCAGCCUGUACGGUCCUCCGUCCCCCGCCGGGUUGUCUGGCCGGUGUAUGUUAGUCCCCCGCAUCUCAUCCUGGUGUCACCUCUGUGAGGCAGGACUGGGUGAACUUUCUUCUGCUACUUACUGUGCCAUUACUUGAACAUCUUAAUAGAUGCCAUUGAAAAACAAAACAUUUCCAGGUCUCUCCCCGAGUGGAGUUUUUGCCUCUGCAGUGGCCAGCCUCAGGAGGGUACUCUAGUAGUGGAAUGAAGGAAUGAAUAAAUGGAUGCCUGCCUAUGUGAAUGUUGCCACCUGAAUCAUCCUUAACCAGUGUUCCCGCAUUUUGCAACAUUGAUGCUGCCCCACCCCCGCCUUUUUUUUUUUUUUUUUUUUUUUUUUUUGCCUAAAUGCAAAACAAAUCCUCAUUUCAUUUUCUUGACCUUUGGUAAGAGAAAUUUGCAUGCCUCUGCUGGUGUACUGGCUUGCUCUGCUAGCAUGAUGUUUUCUGCAUCUUCUUUCCAACUUUUUUUUUUUUCCAGUACUGCGGAUUGAAUCCGGUGCCCUUGUACCGACAUACAUCCCCAGCCCAUUUUUUUUAUUUUGUAAAUUUUGAGACAGGGUCCUAAUAGGUUGUCUGUGUUGGAAUCAAAUUUGUAAUCCUCCUGCUUCAGCUUCUGGAGUGCUGGUAUUACAGAUAAUACACUACCACCAUCAGAAAAUGGUGAGAUCAGAGGGCCGUGGCAUCUCAUUAAAGCACAUCUAUCUGUCCGUUAGGUAAACGUUUGCCCAUUAAUCGGUGCUCCUCAUUCAGAAAGUUGCAGAUCCACCCAGUUGUGCUUACUCCACUGGUUAAAGUUUUUUUUUUUUUUUUUAAUUUUAUUUAAGGAGAAAAGAAAAAAAAAGCAGAGAAAGGGUACAAGUUAUACAGAUUUGCAGAAAAAAAAUGGACAGUAGGAAAUCACUAGUUAAUGGAUUACACAUUGUCAUCUUAGAACCACUGGUUAAAGUUAAAAUUCAGAGUCAGUUAAGUAUGCGACAUACUCAGUAACCCAUGAAACAAAGGAAUGAGAUUGGCUUGGAAAGACUUGGGUUUUUGUUGUUGUUUUGUUUUUGUUUCUUGGUACCAGUGAUCGACCUUGUACUUGCUAGGCAGAUGCUUGUGAAGCUGAGCUAAAUCCCCGGCCCAGAAAGAUUUGAUUUUAGUGAAACCCCAUUUGACUAUAAUCUCAUGCCUUUUUAAGGCCCCCCAAACCAUUGUUUUAUAGCAAUAGCAUUUUAUUUUAAUUCCCACCACAGCUGAGUGAGGUAGACUGAAACUCAUCAAUGCUAGGUAACUAGACCAUGUUUGGACAGCUUUUAAAUGGCAGACCAUGCAUUUGGAUUCAUCUAACUCCAAAGCCUGCAUCCUUAAAUGCCUGUUUCCAUAAUUGCCUGUUUACGCAUUCCUAGAAUUGUGCCCAGGGUUUCCUUUUGGGCUUAUCGGAGCCCUUUAUUUUAAAGUGUUUAUCUGUUGAGGCACAAGAUAAGAGAUGUUGGUUAUGCUGGUAGAUAAGCAGUUCUUUUUUAUUUUAUUUAUUUAUUUUUUUUCUGGACAAGGUCUCACUGUGUAGUUCAGGCUGCCUAUGAGUUCACUGUGUCAUUCAGGCUGUCUUCAACCUCAUGGCAAUCCUCUUGCUGAGGCAGGAGUGGGGGAAUUAUAGGUGUGUGCCACUGUACCCGGCCAUAAGUAGUCCUAAAUUUUCCAGGGUUACACAGAGGCUAGUGACUUCUCAUUUGGAAUAGUUCUAGUUUACUGGAUUAGUUUUAAAAGUUUUAGUUCUCCAUUCCCUGUUCCCUGCAGUUUCUCAGUUUUCUCUAAGUAUGCCUCUGCAUUCAUCUGUAAAGUUGCCAGUACUUAGAGACAUCCAGCUAAGAAGGAAUGAAUGGCCCAUCACAGGAAUGUAUUCAAGCAUAUACGGGACCAACUCGUGGUGUGGAGGUGUGGAGGUGUAGAGCAAAUCACAGGCUGUAUAGAUGGAGGUGAAGCCAGAUGGACUUAGGAGUCCCUUUCAGUCUCAGGAUUCUAUGACUUUAAGAACUGCACUUUUUCCUAAAGUGAAAUUUUUGAGUGCUUUGAACUUUGACCCCGAUAGGCCUUACUUCACUGGACAGUGGAGCAUUGGAGGCCUGGCUUGGGGUUCUGGAGUGAUAAAGGCUUAGAAAAUAUUUCCUUUAGCCAAAAGAUGAUGGUCAUGGUGCCAGGGAUCAUGGGCCCAUUCCAGAGCCUGAGAUCUUCUGUACUAGAGGCUCUUGAUGGCAGGGCCAGGUCCUGACCGUGGAUUCUGGACAGCAGGACAAAAUGCUCUUAGACUUGGGUUGCUUCUGCACAUGGAGGAUCUCAACACUAGGCCAUACUAUGGAAAUAAACAAGAAGCACUUCUUGAAUGAUGGAGUAAAGAUCUUAGAAAACCUACUCCUCCAUGACAGCAGCAAGAACAAUGGAAAAAUAAUCAUUAAAAUCUU